rnacentral:lncRNA from 7 species
AUAGCAAAAAGGAAGACAGCUGUGCCUCUGGGAGGCCAGAGGAACUCCCCAAGGGCAGUGAGAUCCAGCCAGCCAGCUGACUUGUGUACCACAACAUCUCCUGCAACACAGCUGGUGGUAGGAGCAAUUGGAUGUAUUCUGUACAGAAAGAGGAAGCGAUCAACCUUGCAAAAAAUGAUCAGAGAGCUCUAUGAGCAGCCUGCAGACAAUCUGCUUAAAGUUGAUCUUCCUCCUGUCUGGGUAAAGUCGACAUCAAAAGAGACUCUUCCUUAACCUCACCAAGAAACGUGGUCUCAUUAUUUGUCUGUCCAGGUACAGGAGAUGCUACCAAAGCUGACACAGUUACCUUCUGCAAGUUAGUAACUUUGCUGGAAGUGUUAAGGUGUUUGGUAGCAUCUCUCGAUCACAACAUAUCAGUUCUAACAAGACAGAUUGAAGACUUGGCAGAUUUUAAUGGUGACGUCUGAGGAGGAGAGCUGAGAAAGUUAAGUGUUGCCAUGAGCUCACAAGCUUCCUCAGAAGGGCAAAACAUAGGGUCAGAGGGGAAAGGUUCAUCUUGUCAUCACUGCUUUCUAACAUGUAGCCACUUCCUGUUGCUUCUGAGAACAGUGAAUAAUAAAUGAACUUGAAUUUGG